rnacentral:rRNA from 1 species
GAUGAACGCUGGCGGCGUGCCUAAUACAUGCAAGUCGAGCGAACAGAUAAGGAGCUUGCUCCUCUGACGUUAGCGGCGGACGGGUGAGUAACACGUGGGUAACCUACCUAUAAGACUGGGAUAACUUCGGGAAACCGGAGCUAAUACCGGAUAACAUUUGGAACCGCAUGGUUCUAAAGUGAAAGAUGGUCUUGCUAUCACUUAUAGAUGGACCCGCGCCGCAUUAGCUAGUUGGUAAGGUAACGGCUUACCAAGGCGACGAUACGUAGCCGACCUGAGAGGGUGAUCGGCCACACUGGAACUGAGACACGGUCCAGACUCCUACGGGAGGCAGCAGUAGGGAAUCUUCCGCAAUGGGCGAAAGCCUGACGGAGCAACGCCGCGUGAGUGAUGAAGGGUUUCGGCUCGUAAAACUCUGUUAUUAGGGAAGAACAAACGUGUAAGUAACUGUGCACGUCUUGACGGUACCUAAUCAGAAAGCCACGGCUAACUACGUG